GGGGGUGUAGCUCAUCUGGUAGAGCGCGUGCUUCGCAUCCAAUCUCGAUGAUGCGAAGUCAUUGGUGGUAACGUGUGACCUGCACGAGGUACCGUGUUCGACUCCCAGCUCCUCCA